rnacentral:rRNA from 1 species
AGAGUUUGAUCAUGGCUCAGAUUGAACGCUGGCGGCAGGCCUAACACAUGCAAGUCGAACGGAAACAUGUCUAGCUUGCUAGAUGAUGUCGAGUGGCGGACGGGUGAGUAAUACUUAGGAACAUGCCUUUGGGUGGGGGAUAACUAUUGGAAACGAUAGCUAAUACCGCAUAACGUCUACGGACCAAAGGGGGCGCUUGCGCUCUCGCCUAAAGAGUGGCCUAAGCGAGAUUAGCUUGUUGGUGAGGUAAAGGCUCACCAAGGCGACGAUCUCUAGCUGUUCUGAGAGGAAGAUCAGCCACACUGGGACUGAGACACGGCCCAGACUCCUACGGGAGGCAGCAGUGGGGAAUAUUGCACAAUGGGGGCAACCCUGAUGCAGCCAUGCCGCGUGUGUGAAGAAGGCCUUCGGGUUGUAAAGCACUUUCAGUUGUGAGGAAAGUUUGAUGGUUAAUACCCAUUAGAUGUGACGUUAGCAACAGAAGAAGGACCGGCUAACUCCGUGCCAGCAGCCGCGGUAAUACGGAGGGUCCGAGCGUUAAUCGGAAUUACUGGGCGUAAAGCGCACGCAGGCGGUUUGUUAAGCUAGAUGUGAAAGCCCCGGGCUCAACCUGGGAAUAGCAUUUAGAACUGGCAGACUAGAGUCUUGGAGAGGGGAGUGGAAUUUCUGGUGUAGCGGUGAAAUGCGUAGAUAUCAGAAGGAACAUCAGUGGCGAAGGCGACUCCCUGGCCAAAGACUGACGCUCAUGUGCGAAAGUGUGGGUAGCGAACAGGAUUAGAUACCCUGGUAGUCCACACCGUAAACGCUGUCUACUAGCUGUUUGUGGAUUUAAUCCGUGGGUAGCGAAGCUAACGCGAUAAGUAGACCGCCUGGGGAGUACGGCCGCAAGGUUAAAACUCAAAUGAAUUGACGGGGGCCCGCACAAGCGGUGGAGCAUGUGGUUUAAUUCGAUGCAAC